UGGGGAAUAUUGCACAAUGGGCGCAAGUCUGAUGCAGCCAUGCCGCGUGUAUGAAGAAGGCCUUCGGGUUGUAAAGUACUUUCAGCGGGGAGGAAGGGAGUAAAGUUAAUACCUUUGCUCAUUGACGUUACCCGCAGAAGAAGCACCGGCUAACUCCGUGCCAGCAGCCGCGGUAAUACGGAGGGUGCAAGCGUUAAUCGGAAUUACUGGGCGUAAAGCGCACGCAGGCGUUUGUUAAGUAGAUGUGAAUCCCCGGGCUCAACCUGGGAACUGCAUCUGAUACUGGCAAGCUUGAGUCUCGUAGAGGGGGGUAGAAUUCCAGGUGUAGCGGUGAAAUGCGUAGAGAUCUGGAGGAAUACCGGUGGCGAAGGCGGCCCCCCUGGACGAAGACUGACGCUCGGUGCGAAAGC
rnacentral:rRNA from 1 species